AACGAACGCUGGCGGCAGGCUUAACACAUGCAAGUCGAACGCCCCGCAAGGGGAGUGGCAGACGGGUGAGUAACGCGUGGGAACAUGCCCUUCGGUUCGGAAUAACUUGGGGAAACUCAAGCUAAUACCGAAUACGGCUGAGAGGCGAAAGAUUUAUCGCCGAAGGAGUGGCCCGCGUCCGAUUAGCUAGUUGGUGAGGUAAUGGCUCACCAAGGCGACGAUCGGUAGCUGGUCUGAGAGGAUGACCAGCCACAUUGGGACUGAGACACGGCCCAAACUCCUACGGGAGGCAGCAGUGGGGAAUAUUGGACAAUGGGCGCAAGCCUGAUCCAGCCAUGCCGCGUGAGUGAUGAAGGCCUUAGGGUUGUAAAGCUCUUUCGCACGCGACGAUAAUGACGGUAGCGUGAGAAGAAGCCCCGGCUAACUUCGUGCCAGCCGCCGCAGUAACAC
rnacentral:rRNA from 1 species